GACGAACGCUGGCGGCGUGCUUAACACAUGCAAGUCGAACGGAAAGGCCCUGCUUUUGUGGGGUGCUCGAGUGGCGAACGGGUGAGUAACACGUGAGUAACCUGCCCUUGACUUUGGGAUAACUUCAGGAAACUGGGACUAAUACCGGAUAGGAGCUCCUGCUGCAUGGUGGGGGUUGGAAAGUUUCGGCGGUUGGGGAUGGACUCGCGGCUUAUCAGCUUGUUGGUGGGGUAGUGGCUUACCAAGGCUUUGACGGGUAGCCGGCCUGAGAGGGUGACCGGCCACAUUGGGACUGAGAUACGGCCCAGACUCCUACGGGAGGCAGCAGUGGGGAAUAUUGCACAAUGGGCGGAAGCCUGAUGCAGCAACGCCGCGUGCGGGAUGACGGCCUUCGGGUUGUAAACCGCUUUCGCCUGUGACGAAGCGUGAGUGACGGUAAUGGGUAAAGAAGCACCGGCUAACUACGUGCCAGCAGCCGCGGUGAUACGUAGGGUGCGAGCGUUGUCCGGAUUUAUUGGGCGUAAAGGGCUCGUAGGUGGUUGAUCGCGUCGGAAGUGUAAUCUUGGGGCUUAACCCUGAGCGUGCUUUCGAUACGGGUUGACUUGAGGAAGGUAGGGGAGAAUGGAAUUCCUGGUGGAGCGGUGGAAUGCGCAGAUAUCAGGAGGAACACCAGUGGCGAAGGCGGUUCUCUGGGCCUUUCCUGACGCUGAGGAGCGAAAGCGUGGGGAGCGAACAGGCUUAGAUACCCUGGUAGUCCACGCUGUAAACGGUGGGUACUAGGUGUGGGGUCCAUUCCACGGGUUCCGUGCCGUAGCUAACGCUUUAAGUACCCCGCCUGGGGAGUACGGCCGCAAGGCUAAAACUCAAAGGAAUUGACGGGGCCCCGCACAAGCGGCGGAGCAUGCGGAUUAAUUCGAUGCAACGCGUAGAACCUUACCUGGGUUUGACAUGGAUCGGGAGUGCUCAGAGAUGGGUGUGCCUCUUUUGGGGUCGGUUCACAGGUGGUGCAUGCCUGUCGUCAGCUCGUGUCGUGAGAUGUUGGGUUAAGUCCCGCAACGAGCGCAACCCUUGUUCACUGUUGCCAGCACGUUAUGGUGGGGACUCAGUGGAGACCGCCGGGGUCAACUCGGAGGAAGGUGGGGAUGACGUCAAGUCAUCAUGCCCCUUAUGUCCAGGGCUUCACGCAUGCUACAAUGGCUGGUACAGAGAGUGGCGAGCCUGUGAGGGUGAGCGAAUCUCGGAAAGCCGGUCUCAGUUCGGAUUGGGGUCUGCAGCUCGACCUCAUGAAGUCGGAGUCGCUAGUAAUCGCAGAUCAGCAACGCUGCGGUGAAUACGUUCCCGGGGCU
rnacentral:rRNA from 1 species